rnacentral:rRNA from 1 species
GUUGACCUCGGAUCAGGUAGGGAUACCCGCUGAACUUAAGCAUAUCAAUAAGCGGAGGAAAAGAAACCAACAGGGAUUGCCCCAGUAACGGCGAGUGAAGCGGCAAGAGCUCAAAUUUGAAAGCUGGCUCCUUCGGGGUCCGCAUUGUAAUUUGCAGAGGAUGCUUCGGGAGCGGUCCCCAUCUAAGUGCCCUGGAACGGGACGUCAUAGAGGGUGAGAAUCCCGUAUGGGAUGGGGUGUCCGCGCCCGUGUGAAGCUCCUUCGACGAGUCGAGUUGUUUGGGAAUGCAGCUCUAAAUGGGUGGUAAAUUUCAUCUAAAGCUAAAUAUUGGCCGGAGACCGAUAGCGCACAAGUAGAGUGAUCGAAAGAUGAAAAGCACUUUGAAAAGAGAGUUAAAAAGCACGUGAAAUUGUUGAAAGGGAAGCGCUUGCGACCAGACUCGCUCGC